rnacentral:tRNA from 1 species
GCUGCUGUAGCUCAGUCGGUAGAGCAACUGAUUCGUAAUCAGUAGGUCGGACGUUCGAUUCGUCUCAGCAGCACCA